GAUGAACGCUAGCGGCAGGCCUAAUACAUGCAAGUCGAACGGUAAUUAUCCCGAUUUAUCGGGAUAAACGAGUGGCGCACGGGUGCGUAACGCGUAUGCAACCUACCCUGUACAGGGGGAUAGCCCGUGGAAACAUGGAUUAAUACCCCAUAGAAUAUAUAAAGCACCUGCUUAAUAUAUUAAAGAUUAAUCGGUACGGGAUGGGCAUGCGUCUGAUUAGCUAGAUGGUGAGGUAAUGGCUCACCAUGGCUACGAUCAGUAGCGGGUCUGAGAGGAUGAUCCGCCACACUGGUACUGAGAUACGGACCAG
rnacentral:rRNA from 1 species